rnacentral:rRNA from 1 species
GACGAACGCUGGCGGCGUGCCUAAUACAUGCAAGUCGAACGAGAGCGACCGGUGCUUGCACUGGUCAAUCUAGUGGCGAACGGGUGAGUAACACGUGGGUAACCUGCCCAUCAGAGGGGGAUAACACCCGGAAACGGAUGCUAAAACCGCAUAGGUCUUCGAACCGCAUGGUUUGAAGAGGAAAAGAGGCGCAAGCUUCUGCUGAUGGAUGGACCCGCGGUGCAUUAGCUAGUUGGUGAGGUAACGGCUCACCAAGGCCGUGAUGCAUAGCCGACCUGAGAGGGUGAUCGGCCACAUUGGGACUGAGACACGGCCCAAACUCCUACGGGAGGCAGCAGUAGGGAAUCUUCCGCAAUGGACGCAAGUCUGACGGAGCAACGCCGCGUGAGUGAAGAAGGUUUUCGGAUCGUAAAACUCUGUUGUUAGAGAAGAACAAGUGCUAGAGUAACUGUUAGCGCCUUGACGGUAUCUAACCAGAAAGCCACGGCUAACUACGUG